ACGGCCGUAUCACGUUGAAACACCGGUUCUCGUACGAUGACCGAAGUGAAGCAACGUGAAGCCUGUUUAAUACUCAGAUGGGUGACCGCUUUGUAAUACGAGGUGCUGUAA